rnacentral:lncRNA from 1 species
AAAUUAUUAAGCUUUAAGGAACAGUAUUGCAAAAGCUGAAACUCUAGGUGAACAAAUAAUGUUGUAGAACUUAAUUUUGGAGGGACACUUCUCUUAUCUACCUUACUAGAUUACUUAAGGGUUAAAUAUCAAAGUGGUCACUCAAGUGGAGGUCAUAUAUCACUUUGCUUACUAAUCUUAACGGGGUCUCAUUUAAAUCAUUAAAGUCAAAAUAAAUAUCAAUCAAGUACCUCCAAAUUUCAGUCCAAGGAGUAAAAAUAUUAUUUAUAAAGUUUGACACAUUAAUUUUGAUAACUACCACAACCAAUUAAAAGGUUAUGACUUUUAGUAUUUAUGACAAUUUGUUCAGAUUUUAUCAAUUUUAUUUACUAUUUAUUUUUAAUUAAAACAAAGAAAAUAUUAAUAUAAUAAAAAAUAAAUAGUAAAUAGACUUUAUAAAAUCUAAAUAUAUUUUCNNNNNNNNNNNNNNNNNNNNNNNNNNNNNNNNNNNNNNNNNNNNNNNNNNNNNNNNNNNNNNNNNNNNNNNNNNNNNNNNNNNNNNNNNNNNNNNNNNNNNNNNNNNNNNNNNNNNNNNNNNNNNNNNNNNNNNNNNNNNNNNNNNNNNNNNNNNNNNNNNNNNNNNNNNNNNNNNNNNNNNNNNNNNNNNNNNNNNNNNNNNNNNNNNNNNNNNNNNNNNNNNNNNNNNNNNNNNNNNNNNNNNNNNNNNNNNNNNNNNNNNNNNNNNNNNNNNNNNNNNNNNNNNNNNNNNNNNNNNNNNNNNNNNNNNNNNNNNNNNNNNNNNNNNNNNNNNNNNNNNNNNNNNNNNNNNNNNNNNNNNNNNNNNNNNNNNNNNNNNNNNNNNNNNNNNNNNNNNNNNNNNNNNNNNNNNNNNNNNNNNNNNNNNNNNNNNNNNNNNNNNNNNNNNNNNNNNNNNNNNNNNNNNNNNNNNNNNNNNNNNNNNNNNNNNNNNNNNNNNNNNNNNNNNNNNNNNNNNNNNNNNNNNNNNNNNNNNNNNNNNNNNNNNNNNNNNNNNNNNNNNNNNNNNNNNNNNNNNNNNNNNNNNNNNNNNNNNNNNNNNNNNNNNNNNNNNNNNNNNNNNNNNNNNNNNNNNNNNNNNNNNNNNNNNNNNNNNNNNNNNNNNNNNNNNNNNNNNNNNNNNNNNNNNNNNNNNNNNNNNNNNNNNNNNNNNNNNNNNNNNNNNNNNNNNNNNNNNNNNNNNNNNNNNNNNNNNNNNNNNNNNNNNNNNNNNNNNNNNNNNNNNNNNNNNNNNNNNNNNNNNNNNNNNNNNNNNNNNNNNNNNNNNNNNNNNNNNNNNNNNNNNNNNNNNNNNNNNNNNNNNNNNNNNNNNNNNNNNNNNNNNNNNNNNNNNNNNNNNNNNNNNNNNNNNNNNNNNNNNNNNNNNNNNNNNNNNNNNNNNNNNNNNNNNNNNNNNNNNNNNNNNNNNNNNNNNNNNNNNNNNNNNNNNNNNNNNNNNNNNNNNNNNNNNNNNNNNNNNNNNNNNNNNNNNNNNNNNNNNNNNNNNNNNNNNNNNNNNNNNNNNNNNNNNNNNNNNNNNNNNNNNNNNNNNNNNNNNNNNNNNNNNNNNNNNNNNNNNNNNNNNNNNNNNNNNNNNNNNNNNNNNNNNNNNNNNNNNNNNNNNNNNNNNNNNNNNNNNNNNNNNNNNNNNNNNNNNNNNNNNNNNNNNNNNNNNNNNNNNNNNNNNNNNNNUAGACCCAUUUGAUGGAAACACGCUGAAUGUAAGUAAACUAAAAGUCUAGUAUAUCACAUGAUAUUUUAUAAAUUGGAGUAUCUCAAGUAGUCUGACACACAAAGUGCACUUUACUCUUAUAUAUAUAUAUUCAUAGAUAUUUGCGGUUUUCUUAUUGAACUUUGAUUCUAUUCCCUGGAACCUUAAGAUUUUAGGUAGGUUGAUCAAUCACCAUUGUAUCAUAAAUCAAUAUAAUCUUCUUUUAAUAUUGAUACUUAGGGAAGGCUGUGGAAAUCAUUUUAGAUUACAUGGUUUUCACAUUAGUUGAAAUUCAGCACAUGCUGGCACAAAACUACAUCUUCACACAUCUUUCACAUUUAGGAAGUUUUUUAAAUAUAGGUUCUUGUUGUUCAACUUUCGUUAAAGGUAACAAAUAGGUCACUUGUGAGGAACAGUUUUAUAAAAUUAUUAAGCUUUAAGGAACAGUAUUGCAACAGCUGAAACUCUGGGUGAACAAAUAAUGUUGUAUAACUUAAUUUUGGAGGGACACUUCUCUUAUCUACCUUACUAGUUUACUUAAGAUCACCUAGCUAACACAAUUAGAAUCUUUGGCAAGCCUUAUUGCAAACUAUAGCUCUUUCAAUCUAAAUUGUCUCUGGUUUUAGACAAAUCUUUCGGUUUGUAUUGUAUUUGGGAACAUGAAAUCCAUUUCAAAUGAUAUGAUUUGAGUUGCUAUUUUUAAGUACCAAAGUUAUGCUUGAAUUUAAAUGACUUGAAAUCCAAUUAAAUUCGAAUAAUAUAUUAUUCUUGUAUCCAAACAUAUCAUUUGUCGAAAUCUAGAAUUUUAUAUGAAUUCCAAAUAUCCAAACAAGCCAAAUGUGGGUUUGUAAAUAUAAGCUAUUGUUUCUGAUUUCGGCAUUUUGUACAAGAUGCUUAGCUGGUAGUAUUAAAAAUUAUGUACUAGGAAUUGACUUGAAUUGUUUUAGUUUUUCAUUCGGGCCCGGAUCUUGACAUAUGAAUGUUAUAGCAUACUAUCGAUGGGUUUUUUUCCGCCAGAUGGCCUUAACCUUAAUAUUUUGAUGUGUAUGCAGGGGAUUGCCACAGUGUCACAUAGCAAAAAAAUGGCUCAUGGGUGUGUAGGUGAGUUGGCGAGAGUACUAGUUAUUGACCAAAGCUUUGAAGGUCUAAUUCCUGGAGGCGUGGGAUCUUAUACCGCACUCAAGGAAUGGCUACCAAUGUGGUCUUGCCACUUAUUGAGUAUGGCCAGGGUGUCCAGAAAAUGACUCAUUCUAGGGUUUCUGUCGUCCACUUUUUUCCGCUAGAUGUAUAAUAUUCUAUUUUUUUCGACUGACUGCCUUUUCAUUAAACCAAAAUCCUUUCCUUUGAACUUCAUUUGACAACAACAUAAAUGUUUGGAACUCUGUAAUUUUGCUUAAUUCGAUUUUUCAAUUAAAUAUUUUUUUGGUCCAUUGCCUCGAAAUUGACUAUUUCCUCAAUACAGUUAGUCUGGGACACGACACAAGUCAAUUACAAAUAUAAAUAAACUUCCUAGAUGAGUUUCCAAAAGUGGAUCCAUAAUUAUGUUAUUUACGGAUCAUAGACUUCGCAAAAGGUCCAUUAGUCCAUUAUUAUCGAAAGGCCUCAAAUAUUGUGAUGCCAAUCCAGCCCACCUUGAAAGAUUAAUAUCGGGGUAAAAUUGUUUGGACAUGUGUCGUCAUAUGCUACAAUCCUACCCGUCGCCUCAUCCUAACCGUCCUCCACUCUAUUAAAUUUACUUGUUUCCCUACGGUCUUUUCUCUUUAGUUAUAUAUCAAAGUGCACCUCAGGAGCGCCGUUUGUGGCGAACAAGAUCGACCCUGCUAGUUGUUUCGGUGAGUUCUGUCACUCCCAGAUCUCCAACAAGUCAUUUUUUUUCUAUACAAGGAUUGUAGCUUUUUUAAUUGAGUUAUAUAUUACUUUUUUCGCUAGAUUUGACAACAAGAAGUCAUUUAAUCUGUUCAUUCAGAAAACCAAAGGAAGGAAUUCAUCAUGAUAUAUCAAUUAACAACAGUUUGUGUAUUGUGAUAACUAAUAAGAUUGAUACUUUGAUAGUUACUUUGCAAGCUUGCCAGUUAAUUUGGUACUUCAAUUAUUUUUGUUAUUUUACAAAUCUUCUAAUCAAUUUAUGUAAGUGUUUCUCUUACACUGCCUUGAUUUUAUAUUAUUAGUAUGUGUUAUUCCACAAUUGUCAAGUCUCUAUGGUUUGCUUUACCCACAGACUUUGCAGUGUUCAUUGCUGAUUUUUAAAUAUAACGCAGUGCUUUUCUGUUGUGAAAAAUUAUUUGUGUUAUAUCGGCAAUUGAACAUAACUUUGACAUUCUGAUGUUUAAGUCCUAGUCUAUAGAAUCUAUAAACCAUAAGUAUAUAAAUCUACUAAUGCAUCUAUCACACCAACCUGACAGAGAAACAAGUACAACAGUAGCAGUAUUUUGGUCUUUUGGAUUUCCUUUUAACCCUUCAGUCAGAAUUGAUGACUCCUAUUGAUUUCUUAUAUUCUUUCUACUAAUUUUUUUUUGUUACAAACAUGUAUUAUUAUUUUUGAAUAUAUAUGUAUAUAGAUUAUUCUUUUUUACCCGCAAAAAAGGAAACGUACUUGUAGCUAGUUCCACCUGAUUGAAAGGUUUAUCAGCAUUUUGGUUUUAGAUCAUAUCAUUUCUCCUUCUAUCUCGUAUGCUCUUUUGGGUUCUCAAACAGGAACUUUUUCUGGUUUUUAAACAUCACAUUUCAACCAAAGAAUGAGGGGCCCCUAUUAUGCCUUUCAUGCCGUCUCACGUUAAAUCAUGUGGAAGCGCAUCCUUACAGUUGGGAAUAAAGGAGAUACGGAAUGUAAACAUCUUACUGUCCGCAGACCCUGUUUUCAUGUGUGAUAUAUUGUGGUUUUCUGGCUUAUAUUGCAUUUCUGGCUUCUUUGUUUCUCAUGAAUCCAUAAGAUUACAAGUCAUAUGUGUCCCAGGUUGUCUCGUGGAUAACUCAUGAGGCAACCCUCCUCAUAGUAAGAAUAAUGAGAUAGGGAAUGUAAACAUUGCUCAGUUUUUGCUUAUUAUUUGGUUCAUUUUGAAUGUGAUAUGUGAUAUCAUGUAUUUUGUCAUGAGCUAAAAAAUUGUAGAUUGUAUGUUUGUAAUGCGUAAAAACAGUGAAGAAUGAGAAGAAAAUCUGUUUUUAUGCUGCCAAAAAUGGGUCUCAGUAGAUUAUCUGUUUUUCUGGGAGAUCAAACAGAAUUACGAAAAUUGAGAUCGAUAAUUUUUCAUUUUGGUUGUUCCAUACUAAUUUUAACUUGAAUUGCUUCUACAAAUUACUGUUAACAGUAGCAGUACUUGUCUAAAAGAAGCACAAGGAAGCCUCGAAAGCUUUAGAAGUAGCCCAGUUUCUCGACAAUAGCAGAAUGGCAGUGGAUCGGCGACCCAAUCUUGGUGGGAUGGAAAAGGCAUUCAGCUUAAAUAUCAUGAUGCUUAUUACUCGAUAUUUUGCAGGACUACCGAGGAUAGACAUUAAUAGGUAACUUUUUCUUUAAAUCUGGUCUAUAUUGAUUAAUAUUAUGAUCUGUAUCUUAAGUUUGUUCUAAAGUUUGGGACAUUAUAUUCUAUCUUUUUUCUUUUUUACCUGUUAUUUAUUUCAAGUUUAAUAAGGAUGAUUCUGUCAAAAAAAAAAGUUUGAUAAGGAUGAUAUCUACUGGUAAAAGCAACAAUCUACAUGUAAAAGGACAGACUAGUAGACUACUGCUUUUUUAUGUGAAACACAGUCUGAACAUCGAUAAGAAUGAAAUAUAUUUGAAUGGUCAUGUUGAAUUUAGCUUUGUAUUGAGUUCUUCUUUUUCCUAUUUCCUGAAAGGGACUCUGCACCAGCAAACGGACCAAGGAAAAAAUGUAAAAGGAGCGCCGGCAUAUCGGGUAGCAGAGUAUGGAGAGCUUGGGAUAUUCUCCCUGAUGAACUCCUUGUUUCAGUUUUAAUGAAACUAGAUAUUAUCGACUACCUUGCAUUCAGUGGCGUCUGUAGAUCGUGGAGGUUAGCGUCUCUCGAUAUACGCAAUUGUUUUAUGGAACGUCUGCAACCUUUGGUUGUCGCAAGGAGAAGAUAUUGUAAGAAAGCUUGUGUUCUGUUCAAUAUGUUCGACAGGAAAAGUAGCAAGUCAAUGCUGCCAAAUUUGGCUGGUAGGAAAUUCUGGCAUUUAGUAAGUGGUUACUUGAUCACAAUCGACUGCAGAGAACUUUGGCUUGUGAAUUUAAUGACAAGGCAUGAGCUGCAUUUUUCUGCUCUGCCCGCCUGUAUGGGGAAAAUUAAUGACACCAGAAAUCGCGCUGUCCUCUUCCGUUCGACUCAGCUUUCAGGAGUUUUCAUGGUUGUUUUCUCUAAAAUGAGUUGUUAUUUAAUGUUGUCUGAAAGUGGCUCCAGCAGAUGGCAGAUAUAUUUCUUACCAAAAACUAGUUUCGGGAUUUUCGAUGUGAAAAUUUUGGAUGGCAAAAUCUUUGUCUUAACCUGUGACCUACAAUUCGGAGAAUUUAAUCCGAGGGGAGAUCCUGUUUUCAAGCUCUACAACUUCCCGAUCCCAAUUCAGCUUUCAGGAUUUAAGCACUUGCAGUUAGCCACUUCUGACAACAAACUCUACAUUAUUGUAUCUCAUCAGGUACACCGUCGUAACACACCCGGGGUAAUUAUAAAGGUCCAAUAUCAUUCGCUCUAUGAACUAGAUUAUAAGGAGGAAUCUGUAAAACGGGUUCACGACAUGGGUUCAAAAUCUUUGUUCCUGAGUGAAUUCCAGUCUGCUGUGGUCGAUACAACAGGUUGGGGAGCAGGUAACUGUGUCUGUGUUCUUCAACCUAUGUUUCAUCAGACUUGUGUGUUCUAUGGCUUGAGUGGAAUGGAGCUAUCAACACUUCCUUUUCUGGGGACGGAUAAGUUAGCACCAUAUUCCUGGUUUUUUCCUAGCGAAAGCUGGGACAUCAAUUGUGUUGGUGAUGAAUUUGGCAUGUGAUCACUUCUACUCUUGACUGGCAUCUGUGGCCAAAUCUUCAGUUGUAGUUUCGUCUUACAUUUAGAACAGUUUUAUGCUGUUAUGAUAUUUUCAGAUUGUUAUGAUAUGCUGUUGUACUAGAGAUCAUGUAAUAUGUUGACUAUGGGUUAUCGUUUAAAAUUUGUCAGUGCUGUAAAAAAAUGUUGUCCUAAAAAUCACAAAAGAUAUUGUUAUAGAAAUCAUAUAGAUGUUUGGUAGUAUUUUUGGUAUCCGCAUAUUUUGACAACUUAUCACAAAAAUUAAAAAGCAGCUCUUUACAAACAUCAGAGCAACUUUCGCAAUGAUGUAUGUUUGGAUUGUUUGAGAUUUGAUCGUAAUAUUUUUUGGUUUAAAUAAUUUACAUAUUCUAUUUGUUAACCGAUCUGAAAACAAAGUGAAUAUAUGUUUAGCUCGUCUUUUGCUUCUUAAUCAGGUUGUAACUAGUUGAGAAGGCGGAUUAUAAAAAUUAUAUUAAUGAUUUAAUAUUAAUAUUUGUAGAAUAAAAUAAUUUUGUGGCUGUCUAUAAAAAGUAUAUUAAUGAUUUAAAAUUAAUAUUUGUCGGAUAAAAUAAAUUUAUAUUAUUAAAAUUUUGAUGUAAUACCAAUAAUAAUAUAUAAAACUAGUUGAGAAGCCGCGCGUUGCGGCGGUCUAUAAAAAUUAUAUUAAUGAUUUAAUAUUAAUAUUUGUAGAAUAAAAUAAUUUUGUGGCUGUCUAUAAAAAGUAUAUUAAUGAUUUAAAAUUAAUAUUUGUCGGAUAAAAUAAAUUUAUAUUAUUAAAAUUUUGAUGUAAUACCAAUAGUAAUGUAUAAAAUUGCAAAAUUUGGACUAUAAUUCAUGGUGAAAAAAUGAAAAUAACUUUCUACAUGUAAUUAACAAUUUAAAGCACAACAAAUCUUAAUUUUAUAUGUGUUUUUUUUUAAAGUAAUCAUGUUCUUACAUUGUCACCUUCCACCAAUUUUUUUGGAUUAAUUGUGCACAAAAACAUCUAACUUAAAUCCGUGAGAUGGCGGUCUAUAUAACUAUCCUUACUUGCAACAGCCUUCAGUUAAAAGUUACUUGAACGGAGCAAACAGAUAAUGCAUGAAUAAUAUUUUUUUAUAUACAAAGCAAAUCAUAUAAAAAUUAACAACAAACAUGUCCGAUGAACAAAACAAAUAUUAUAAAAGAAUAAUCAACAAACAUACAUCACUAAUAGUUAAUUUCUUAAUAUCAUCCAUCAAUACCAUGUCAAGACUAUAUUCUUCUCCCGUGUUUGGAUUUGUCGACUCCCACCUAGCGGUUCUUUACUUGCAACAACCUUUAUAUUUUUUAAUAUUGUAUAAACAACCUUCACUUAUCAUAUAAGAACGGCACCACCGAGUUAGAAAUCGAGUAAGAGAACUAUCAUCAGAGAGAGGUAGGAUUGUGGUAUUGAGAGAGAGUAGAUUGUAUUUUGAUGAUCCAAAAUCCUACAACUUAUAGGGGUAUUUAUAGGUGCAGAGAGACUUGUGUGCUACUCUUUCCCAUAAUUAAAUAAUCUGAAACAAAAUCAGAUUAAAACUUUCAAGCUGCUAUAUUCCAUAAAUAAUCUGAAACAAAAUCAGAUUCUGAAACUUGCUUCUAAUAUAUCCGAACUAAAAAAGGUAGUUCUAAUUUUUGAUAUUUUUCAUCCGAAAAUUCCAGAAAAUUAGAAAAAUAUAACAGAGCGAUGUGAGAGGCGCCACCUACACGUCCAUCGCUUCUCCUUUACAUAGAAACAAAAUCAGAUUAAAAAUUUCAAGAAACUUGCUUCUAAUAUAUCUGAAACUAAAAAAGGUAGUUCUAUCGCUUCUCCUUUAUAUAAAAACAAAAUCAGAUUAAAAUUUUCAAGAUACUAUAUUUCAUAAAUAAUUUGAAACAAAAUCAGAUUGUGAAACUUGCUUCUAAUAUAUCCGAAACUAAAAAAAGGUAGUUCUAAUUUUUGAUAUUUUUCUUCCGAAAAUUCCAGAAAAUUACUAAAAAAGGUAGUUCUAAUUUUUGAUAUUUUUCAUCCAAAAAUUCCAGAAAAUUAGAAAAAUAUAACAGAGCGAUGUGAGAGGCGCCACCUACACGCCCAUCGCUUCUCCUUUACAUAGAAACAAAAUCAGAUUAAAAAUUUCAAGAAACUUGCUUCUAAUAUAUCCGAAACUAAAAAAGGUAGUUCUAUCGCUUCUCCUUUAUAUAAAAACAAAAUAAGAUUAAAACUUUAAAGAUACUAUAUUCCAUAAAUAAUUUGAAACAAAAUCAGAUUGUGAAACUUGCUUCUAAUAUAUCCGAAACUGAAAAAGAUAGUUCUAAUUUUUGAUAUUUUUCUUCCGAAAAUUCCAGAAAAUUAGAAAAAUAGAACGGAGCGAUGUGAGAGGCGCCACCUACACACCCCUCGCUUCUCCUUUAUAUAAGUAUAUUGAUUGCAAAACUGAACUAUACACUACAAAGAUUAGAACUCAUAAAUUCAUGAUUUCCUAAACAAAUAUAUUAAGUACUAUAUGAAUUAUGUAACUAUCAGAAUUGAUUUAUGUACACAUUUUCUUGUUGACCUUCAAGAAUAUGGCAUCUCCUUUGGGCACGCUAGCAAACAUGUCCCCUCUGACGUGUUCCAUUUCAUCACAAUUGGUAGUAUUUCUGAUUUGUGCCAUUUUAUCCAUGGGACAAUUGUGAUUCAAGAGGUAAUCUUUAAUGAUGAAGAUGGUUUUUGGUAGACCAAACUUGGUGUUUAUGAUUUGGUUAACCAAAAAUAUUAGGUAUUCUUGUUUUGUUCCUAUUUUUGUGCUUUAUAGGUGCUUGAUAUCUUUUUCAAUCAAUUGUAAAUGAAACAUAAGGGUUUUAUAAAUGUUUGGUAACACUACAAGAAAAGCGUCUAUUAUCGACCGGUUAAUUUCGACCGCAAGCUAUUUUCGACCGUAACCGGUCGAAAUUAUUUAUCGACCAAACUCGGUCGAAAAUAAUUUCGGUCGAAAUUAGUUGGUCGAAAAUAUUGGCGGUCGAAUUUAGUUGGUCAAAAAUAAGCAUAAAUUCGACCGUUUUUUAGUUGGUCUAAAAUUUUGAGGGGAAAAUAAAGGGGGGAAAGUUCCCGCCCAAAAGAAUUCAAAUUAAUUUCGACCAUUUUUGGUCGAAUUUAUUAUUUUCGACCAUUUCAGGUCGAAUUUAAUAAUUUCGACCACUUUUGGUCGAAUUUAUUUUGGCCACAAAAUGAAGGCGGGAAAGUUCCCGCCCAAAAUUUAGAGCGGGAAAAUUACCGCCUAAUUCUGUUCAAAAAAUUUUGAACUAAUUUCGACCAUUUCUGGUCGAAUUUAUUAUUUUCGACCAGAGUUGGUCGAAUUUAAUAAUUUCGACCAUUUCUGGUCGAAUUUAAUAAUUUCCACCAGAAAUGGUCGCAUUUAUUAAAUCGGCCAAAAUAAUUGAAUUUAUAAUUUUUUAUAAAACCACAAAUGUUGCUAGUCUAAUACAAAUCAUAAAAAUUAUGGGUUGGAUCAGUGACUCUUAUAAUCAAAUUUUGCGAUUAUAAUCAUAGAAAUGGUCGAAUUCUGUGAUUGGAUCAGUGAUAAUUAUUUCAUAAAAGUUCAAAUGACAAUUCCGGACUAAAAACUAGUACAAAGAACUAGUCAAAUUAUUGGUUGGCUCUUAUAAUCUCAAAUCAUAUUAAUUUAAUAAUUUUUGAAAUUGUAGAAAUAUGAUUAUAAUUAAUCAAUCUUAACAUCUGUAAGAUUGAUUCAUCGAUAAUUAUUUUUAAAAAAUUCAAACUACCAAACCACGAGUAUACACGAUUUAAAUGUAAUUUUAAGAAUACGAUUAAAAUAUAUCGAUCUUAACAUCUACAAGGUUGGAUCAUUAAUAAAAUCUUUAACCUCUAAAUCAUAUAAAUUUAAUAUUUAUUAGUUGACCGUUAAAAUCUCAAAUCAUAUAAAUUUAAUAUUUAUUGAACAUUUAGAAAUAUGACUAAAAUAUAGACAUCUUAACCUCUAUAAGGUUAGAUCAUCGAUAAGGUUUCAAAAAAAAAAAAAAUCAAACUAUUAAACGAGGAGUAUACACCAUUUGGAAGUCAAAUUAUCAGUUGACUGUUAUAAUUUCAAAUCAUACAAAUUUAGUAUUUAUUAAAAAUUUGAGAAUAUGAUUAAAAUAUAUACAUCUUAACAUCUAUAAGGUUGCAUCAUCGAUAAUUAUUUCUAAAAAAUUCAAACUACCAAAGUCGGAGUAUACACGAUUUAGAUGUAAUAGUCAAAUUAUUAGUUGACUGUUAUAAUUUCAAAUCGUAUAAAUUUAGUAUUUAUUAAAAAAUUUGGAAUAUGAUUAAAAUAUAUACAUCUUAUGAUCUAUAAGGUUGGAUCAUCGAUAAUUAUUUUUAAAAAAUUCAAACUACUAAAUUAGGAGUAUACACCAUUUAGAUGUAAUAGUCAAAUUAUCAGUUCACUAUUAUAAUUUCAAAUCAUGUAAAUUUAAUAUUUAUUAAAAAUUUGGGAAUAUGAUUAAAAUAUAUACAUCUUAACAUCUAUAAGGUUGGAUCAUCGAUAAUUAAUUUAAAAAAAAUCCUAUAGAAAGGAUGAUAUUUUAUGAAUCUUAUAAAUUUAGCAAUUUUGAUACGGAUCACAAUUUUAUUAAUUUUUUAAUUUUGAAAAUUCUGGAUCAAAAUUAAUUUAAUAUAAUAAUACACAUGUAGUUAAGAUUAAUUGUACUUCUUAUCAUCUUCCACAUAUAUUAUUAAUUAUUUAAAAUUUAAAAUAGAACAUGUAGUUAAGAUAUAGCAGGUGAGUGGAGAAACUGCAGAGAGUGGGUCGAGAAGAGGAGAAACAGCGGUGGAUGGGUGGCUGAUGAUGGCGGUGCCAAGGGUUUGACGGCGGCGGCGCGGUGGCGCGGUGUUCAGGAUGAGGGAGGAGAUUGUGAAACAGGGGUUUGAAGGGUUGGGACAAGGGAGAGUUGCAGAAGAAGGAUAGAGAGAGAAAGAAAGGCUGAGAGAGAGAGAAAAGGAGGGGGAAAGGAGAGGUUGGCAGUGGUGGUGUCCUGACGGAGGUCUGGCCAGUGUGGUUGUUUGUGCAGCUGACUAUUAAACGGCGGUGCUAGCAGCUCAGCCGCAGUUGUGGUGGCGAGAUCACCGGAGAGGAUGAAGAUCAGAGGUGGCUUUGCUAAGAGGUGUAUGUAUUUGUAUAUGUUGUUGGGGUGUUUAACUCGGCAGAGAUUGAGGCUGUGAGUUUUGAAAUGUGUAGGAAUAACUUGUGAAUCAGCGUUGAGUCUGGUGAAUGUUGUGAGCCUAUGAUCAAUCGAAGGGGAAAUUUUCAGGACCGGCCAGUGAGGGGUCAGGGUGCUGCUGUGCCGGGUGACAACAAGUUGGGUUGAAAUUUGAGUAAAGGAAGUUGUUGCAGGUAAGAUGGUGGGCUGAGAUUGAUGAGCAGGGGGGGUAUUCCUAUAAAGGAAAAAGAUAAGUGAGUAAUGGAAUGCAGGGGAGAGUAUAAUGGAUGCCCCUGGUGCUGGUUUUUGGGCUGCUGGCUGAGUGAUAACUAUAGUCCGAUGGUUGUGGGGAUUUGUGGGAAAAUAUAGACAUCUUAANNNNNNNNNNNNNNNNNNNNNNNNNNNNNNNNNNNNNNNNNNNNNNNNNNNNNNNNNNNNNNNNNNNNNNNNNNNNNNNNNNNNNNNNNNNNNNNNNNNNNNNNNNNNNNNNNNNNNNNNNNNNNNNNNNNNNNNNNNNNNNNNNNNNNNNNNNNNNNNNNNNNNNNNNNNNNNNNNNNNNNNNNNNNNNNNNNNNNNNNNNNNNNNNNNNNNNNNNNNNNNNNNNNNNNNNNNNNNNNNNNNNNNNNNNNNNNNNNNNNNNNNNNNNNNNNNNNNNNNNNNNNNNNNNNNNNNNNNNNNNNNNNNNNNNNNNNNNNNNNNNNNNNNNNNNNNNNNNNNNNNNNNNNNNNNNNNNNNNNNNNNNNNNNNNNNNNNNNNNNNNNNNNNNNGGCCGUGACGGCGGUCCAGUGAGGGCUAUAUACGUAUUAUUCGGGCGGCGGUUUGACGUCGCUGGCUGACGAAGAAGGGUAGGAGAGAGACCGAGUUGAAGGCGGCUCUGCCGCGAAAAAGAUAUAGCAGGUGAGUGGAGAAACUGCAGAGAGUGGGUCGAGAAGAGGAGAAACAGCGGUGGAUGGGUGGCUGAUGAUGGCGGUGCCAAGGGUUUGACGGCGGCGGCGCGGUGGCGCGGUGUUCAGGAUGAGGGAGGAGAUUGUGAAACAGGGGUUUGAAGGGUUGGGACAAGGGAGAGUUGCAGAAGAAGGAUAGAGAGAGAAAGAAAGGCUGAGAGAGAGAGAAAAGGAGGGGGAAAGGAGAGGUUGGCAGUGGUGGUGUCCUGACGGAGGUCUGGCCAGUGUGGUUGUUUGUGCAGCUGACUAUUAAACGGCGGUGCUAGCAGCUCAGCCGCAGUUGUGGUGGCGAGAUCACCGGAGAGGAUGAAGAUCAGAGGUGGCUUUGCUAAGAGGUGUAUGUAUUUGUAUAUGUUGUUGGGGUGUUUAACUCGGCAGAGAUUGAGGCUGUGAGUUUUGAAAUGUGUAGGAAUAACUUGUGAAUCAGCGUUGAGUCUGGUGAAUGUUGUGAGCUUAUGAUCAAUCGAAGGGGAAAUUUUCAGGACCGGCCAGUGAGGGGUCAGGGUGCUGCUGUGCCGGGUGACAACAAGUUGGGUUGAAAUUUGAGUAAAGGAAGUUGUUGCAGGUAAGAUGGUGGGCUGAGAUUGAUGAGCAGGGGGGAUAUUCCUAUAAAGGAAAAAGAUAAGUGAGUAAUGGAAUGCAGGGGAGAGUAUAAUGGAUGCCCCUGGUGCUGGUUUUUGGGCUGCUGGCUGAGUGAUAACUAUAGUCCGAUGGUUGUGGGGAUUUGUGGUUGAGGGCAAUAAGAGGGUGCUGAUUGAGGGAUGAGGCAGGAGAAUUGGUGUGGUUGAUAGACAUGUAUUCUGGUAGGGGUGGAGAAUGGUUGCAGAGCAAUUUCAGAAGAUAAAAAUGGAAUGAAUACUAGUUAAUUAUGGAUUAAGUAAUUGUUAUUAUUGAUAUUGUUAUUAUUAUUAUUAUCAAUUCUUUGAUAAUAAUAAUGAUAAUUAAUAAUUCUAAUAACGUUAAUAAUCAAUAAUUGAUUAUCUUGAAUUCUAUUUUUAUUCCGAUUAUUUGUGAAUAAAGGUAGCUGGUUGAGUUUGAAUUGUCUGGAGUAUAAUUUUAUCUAAAUUUGGGAUUGUGUUGGAUAAAUGCUUCGUGCUUUAUAAUAAGUUGAAUUCGAGUAUAUGCAAUGUUCAAGGACCUUAUAUCUACAAUAUAGAUUCAAAUAUUCGAACAGUGGAAUGUGAUUGGAAUUACAAAUUGUAUUAUUAUUAUUAAAAUAAUACGUGUUUCGAUAUUGUGAUGAAUAUUUAUAUUACUUGGACAGAGAUUAUUGUGUUGUUGAUUUGGGGUUUGCUCGAUUUUAAAAGGAUGUGCUGUCCAAAAUUUAUUAUUUUAUUCUGAUUAUAUUUCGAGUGGAAUUGAGAUAUGAUUGAAUUACAAUUGGACUUGUAAAUUAGACUGGCUUGGAUUAUAUUUCUGAAAUAGAUAGUAGUCAGGGAUGUAUUGUCGUUGUGUUGAUUGUUUGUAUAUAAUCAUAUAUAAAAUUAUAUACAUGAUUAUUAGAAUAUUUAUAUUUUAUAUAAAUAUUAAAGCAUGUGCUUAUGUGACUACGUGUUUAACUGAUUGAUACUAUGUAUAUAUAGUAAUUGUAUAUAUUAUAUGGCGAAGGGUAGUAAUAUAAUUUCGAUUCAGCGAUUUGACGGCGGUUGGGAUUGUUCUUCAACUGAAGUAUUGUUUGCUGUUAUAUAUAGCCGGCUGAGACGUGGUCAACAAUGACUUUCAGAAGCCAGCGAAUAGUGUUGCAAGCCAAGUCUGAAAUAAUUCAAUAAGGCCAGAUUGUGCCGCAAGACAGUCCAUUUAGAAUGUAGUGACUGUAGAGUUAGCAGUUGAGGCAAGUCUAGAAACCUCGAGUAGUGUGACCGAGUUGCAUUGUCACAUGUUUUCAGUCAGAGGCAAGUAUUCUUACUCUUCUCUUUUAUUUAAAGAGCAAGAAUUUUAAAUCUCUUUUAAUAAUGCAGUUUUCUAUUUAUGCAUGACUUGUAUUUCCCGCAAGCAUUCGUACUUUUAUACUGUGAUAUAAAUUAUCGAAUAUUUUUUUAGUUCGAUCCUUUUCUAGCGUGAUAUGCACAAUGACAACAUUGUUAGAAAAUUAUUCUGAUUUUGAUUUAAUCAGUUUUCUGAAAGAUUAUUGUCUGAGUUUCUUUACAGUUUGGAACUAUUGAUGACUGUAUAGCAGUCAUAUUUCGAUUCUACAAUAUAUGCCUGGUCUUCUGUCCCAGACAUAAACACUGGAUUUUUAAAUGGCGAAAAUAGUUGUUUUUAUUCCUUUGAGCCGCAUUGCGGUGGAUUUUAGAAUCGUACUCAGACUUUAAUGAAAUUGAUUUUGACAGUAUUUUGAAAUUGAAAACUAAAGAGUUUUCAGAAAGUUUUGAAAGGAUGAUUGUAUGGCAUAAGAGACUAAUUAAUGGUCCAGCCAGAGAGACCAGCAAAAAUAUUUUGUUUUGAUUGGAUGAAUGCGUAAGAGGCCGUGACGGCGGUCCAGUGAGGGCUAUAUACGUAUUAUUGAAAUAUUAUAAUACCUCUGCCAAAGGCCAAUGUGUUGCCUUGUAUUUGGUACCUAUCGUAACGGAUAUACUUCUACGAAGUAUGAUCCAGUGCUAUCACAUGGUCUGAUCAGUUGUGAUAGUACACCCGUCAGUUGUGGAUUCCGAUCCAAAAACUGGUCAAUUAUUGUUUAAGCUUUUGAGAGCUUAUGUUUAUUGUCAAAUUUAUUCUGUGAAAUUUUCAAGCAUAUUGAUUUAUAUGUUUGAUAAAAUUUUGAGUUACAACUGUUAUGAUUUACUUCAAAAGUUGCUUUAUUUUCAAAUACUCUGAUUUAAUUGAAAAGAAAUUAUAUCUUGUGGCUCUUGCCUUUCAUAUUAUCUUGCUGAGCAUUUUCGCUCACCCUUGCUAUUAUUUCUAACCCUUUCAGCUAGGGAUUGAGAUAGUCACCUGUGUAAGCUGAGCGUAAGAUUGAUGCUAGGCGAGACUACCAAGGAGAUGUCUACAAGAAUAGUUUCAGUUAGAAUUGAUUUAUUUCAGUUCAGUUGUAAAUAGAUUUAUUUAUUUGGUUAUCAGUUAUUCUUCUCAUCGAGGCUUAACUGAUAAUGUAGUUUAAGUUGUAAUAUAUUGUAAGUUUUAGUUUCUGAUUUCAGUACUGUAACCUAUUAGCGAUCCUGUUUUUAGGGGGUCAAAGUGAUUUUGAUUUAAAUCUCUUUUAAAAAUUUCAGAUUUUCAAAUAUCUGUUUUACCUUCUUCCGCAAAUACAGGUUUUUUUAUGAUUUUUGAUUUAGUGGCACCAAAUCCCGACCCCCGGAUUUGAGGGCUGUCACAGUUGGUAUCAGAGCUGUAGGUUAUAAGUUAUUGAAAUCAGAAUGUAGAUGGUGAUAAGAUUGUGUUUAGUGGAACCUCAUAUAGAGGUAAGUCAAGACUAUUAGGUAUAGUCUUUGUCAAGAGAACUGAGAUUGAUUUUGGAGUAUUGAUUCUGAGUAAUCAUUUGGGAUAUCCUAGUUUCCAGUUUUAGAACUAGUGAGUUUGGAUUUUAUGAGAAACAUGAUGGAACACCUUUAGUUUCCAAUCUUUUAGAUCUUGAGGUCGACUUUCUGAGUAACUAGUGCCAGCCAGACUUGUGGAGAAACCUGUCAAGUCUAGAAUGUUCCUUACUAUCUUUACCACUUCUAGAGUAUUGGUUAGAAGGUGAUUCAUUGUUUCUUAUAUGGAGUUGGUAGACGAGUAUGAGAUUUGUCGAUUCAGAGUGAGAAUCCAGAUGUAUAGUUCUCGGGUUGAGAGUUUAUAUGGAUUUCAUGUUGGACUACUCGAUAUAGUGCUAUGAGUAGGCUAGAACGUCAACGCUCUGCAUUGCUGAUUGUAUAAAGUUGAAGAUGACUUUUGAUCAUGCCAAGCUGAAUAAGACUUUUUACUAAAGUGGAUAGCGGUGAUGGAAUCUUUAGAGUCAAAUACGAGUCGGCCAGAAUUUUAGAAUAUCAAGAAGAAUUGCUAGAAUCGAAACGAGUUAUCAGAAGAAUCAAUCGAGAAGACAAUUAUGAUAAUGCUGGCAAUACUUUCCUCAUUAUUGAUUAUAUUGAUUAUUUUUCCAAUCAAUAAUUUGUUUUAACAUCUCUUUUAUAAAGAUGUUUAUCAAAAAGCGUAUACUCUCUCUUGAGUAAUACUGCUAUACUUGUGUUUACCCGUAUUUGAAAUGAAGUGUGAAAGAAACUGAUAUGAUACUUAUUUGUAGGUUGUGUCAAGCUCGUCACAUUAUGUUAAUUCAAAUUUCAUUUUCUCUAAGUGGUGAAUGAUUCUUAUUUCAAUUUAUCACCAUUUGCUCACUAUGAUUAAUGAUUUUUGGGUUAUUCUUCUUCUCCGAAAAUUAGCAUCUUUGGAAUCUAUUCAAUUUAGAACCCAAAGUGCGCAUUUAAGAUUCAUUCAUCAAAAGUUAAUUAUUUUUAAUUGAUUUUGAAUUUAUUUUAUAUUUUCUACUCUAACUGAGAUGAACAACCCUAAUUAUAGGGGACACAAGGACUCUCUGUCUGUGUGAUAGAAGUUUGGUGGGACGCCAUCACUUGUGUGUUGUGCAUUACAAGGAGGCUAAUUACCUUUAGUAGUAUCUUUAUCAGGAUACGCAACACUAUGUUCUCUCGAUCAUAUUGAUCUCUCAGUAACUAUUUAUUUCAAGUCAGCUUUGCUUUGUACACUCAUACAUCUGAUAUUCGCUAUAAUAUCUAAAAGUUGAUGUAUUUAAAAGAUUCCAUGAUUCUUGUUCCUCCACUUAAUUUUGAGGGUAUGCCACAUAUGUUUGACAAAGCUAAUCCGGACAAUGCAUGUCAAGAUUCUUAUAAGACUUCAAUUGCAAAAAGGGGAUCACGAUGUGACUUACAAGCAAUAGCAGGUUCUCGUUCGUUCUUCGCGGAUUCCGAGGACGGAAUCCUUAUAAGGGGGGAAGUCUGUGACGACUCGGAAAUUUUUAUAAUUGUUUAUUAGUUGUUAUUAAUUUUCUAAAAAGAUGAGGAAUAAAAUUUUAUAUUAUAUUCCAAAUUGUUGGAUUUCCAAAAACAAUUUUAAUGAGUUGUUGCAAUUAUGUGAUUAAUUGAUUUAAUUAUGUUACGUGUUAGAUGUGCAAUUUAAAUUAUUUACUUUAUGUCUGGUUGUGGAUUUACAGCUUUGAUUUAUUUUAUUAUUUUGAUAAAUCAAAAUUUUCUUAUGAUUCCAAAAUAAAUAUCAUUUUUAUAUGAGCCCAAAGGUUUUGUCGGAUUUAAAAUUAUUAAAAUAUUCAAUUUUGAUACUUUUAUAUUUUUAUCGGAUUCAAAAAUAUUUGAAAGUCUGCAAAUGAUUAUUUUAAUUGUUGUAAUUUAAAAAUGAUUUUUGAGCUUUAAUUGCAAAAAUAGAGAAAGAUUUUAAAAAAUAUUAUUUUUGCAAAUAUUGUGUAUUCGGGAUUACUAGAAUUUACAGGAAGUUUUAUUUUUAUAUUUGGAUGAUAUUUUUGGACCUCCAAAUUGUUGAAAUAGCUCUUAAUUUAAAUUGGGGGUAUGAGUUUUAGUAAAUAUAAAUAGUUUUCUAAAAAUCUUUUUAAUGUAUACUGAUCAGUUAUACAGCAGCGUGUAAACAGUUUUGGGGUAGAGGCGGCUAAAUUAGGGUUUUGGAUUUCAUUCCUUCAAUUGGAUUCAAGCUCUAAUCAGGUGAGUGAGUUGAUUGUGUGUUUAACUGUGUGUAUACAUAUCUCUGUGUGUUGUGGAUUGUUUUGGCGGCUGUCGGAGGAAUCGCGGCGACAGGGUUUCCGCCGGAGUGGUUCGGGCGGCGGUUUGACGUCGCUGGCUGACGAAGAAGGGUAGGAGAGAGACCGAGUUGAAGGCGGCUCUGCCGCGAAAAAGAUAUAGCAGGUGAGUGGAGAAACUGCAGAGAGUGGGUCGAGAAGAGGAGAAACAGCGGUGGAUGGGUGGCUGAUGAUGGCGGUGCCAAGGGUUUGACGGCGGCGGCGCGGUGGCGCGGUGUUCAGGAUGAGGGAGGAGAUUGUGAAACAGGGGUUUGAAGGGUUGGGACAAGGGAGAGUUGCAGAAGAAGGAUAGAGAGAGAAAGAAAGGCUGAGAGAGAGAGAAAAGGAGGGGGAAAGGAGAGGUUGGCAGUGGUGGUGUCCUGACGGAGGUCUGGCCAGUGUGGUUGUUUGUGCAGCUGACUAUUAAACGGCGGUGCUAGCAGCUCAGCCGCAGUUGUGGUGGCGAGAUCACCGGAGAGGAUGAAGAUCAGAGGUGGCUUUGCUAAGAGGUGUAUGUAUUUGUAUAUGUUGUUGGGGUGUUUAACUCGGCAGAGAUUGAGGCUGUGAGUUUUGAAAUGUGUAGGAAUAACUUGUGAAUCAGCGUUGAGUCUGGUGAAUGUUGUGAGCUUAUGAUCAAUCGAAGGGGAAAUUUUCAGGACCGGCCAGUGAGGGGUCAGGGUGCUGCUGUGCCGGGUGACAACAAGUUGGGUUGAAAUUUGAGUAAAGGAAGUUGUUGCAGGUAAGAUGGUGGGCUGAGAUUGAUGAGCAGGGGGGAUAUUCCUAUAAAGGAAAAAGAUAAGUGAGUAAUGGAAUGCAGGGGAGAGUAUAAUGGAUGCCCCUGGUGCUGGUUUUUGGGCUGCUGGCUGAGUGAUAACUAUAGUCCGAUGGUUGUGGGGAUUUGUGGUUGAGGGCAAUAAGAGGGUGCUGAUUGAGGGAUGAGGCAGGAGAAUUGGUGUGGUUGAUAGACAUGUAUUCUGGUAGGGGUGGAGAAUGGUUGCAGAGCAAUUUCAGAAGAUAAAAAUGGAAUGAAUACUAGUUAAUUAUGGAUUAUGUAAUUGUUAUUAUUGAUAUUGUUAUUAUUAUUAUUAUCAAUUCUUUGAUAAUAAUAAUGAUAAUUAAUAAUUCUAAUAACGUUAAUAAUCAAUAAUUGAUUAUCUUGAAUUCUAUUUUUAUUCCGAUUAUUUGUGAAUAAAGGUAGCUGGUUGAGUUUGAAUUGUCUGGAGUAUAAUUUUAUCUAAAUUUGGGAUUGUGUUGGAUAAAUGCUUCGUGCUUUAUAAUAAGUUGAAUUCGAGUAUAUGCAAUGUUCAAGGACCUUAUAUCUACAAUAUAGAUUCAAAUAUUCGAACAGUGGAAUGUGAUUGGAAUUACAAAUUGUAUUAUUAUUAUUAAAAUAAUACGUGUUUCGAUAUUGUGAUGAAUAUUUAUAUUACUUGGACAGAGAUUAUUGUGUUGUUGAUUUGGGGUUUGCUCGAUUUUAAAAGGAUGUGCUGUCCAAAAUUUAUUAUUUUAUUCUGAUUAUAUUUCGAGUGGAAUUGAGAUAUGAUUGAAUUACAAUUGGACUUGUAAAUUAGACUGGCUUGGAUUAUAUUUCUGAAAUAGAUAGUAGUCAGGGAUGUAUUGUCGUUGUGUUGAUUGUUUGUAUAUAAUCAUAUAUAAAAUUAUAUACAUGAUUAUUAGAAUAUUUAUAUUUUAUAUAAAUAUUAAAGCAUGUGCUUAUGUGACUACGUGUUUAACUGAUUGAUACUAUGUAUAUAUAGUAAUUGUAUAUAUUAUAUGGCGAAGGGUAGUAAUAUAAUUUCGAUUCAGCGAUUUGACGGCGGUUGGGAUUGUUCUUCAACUGAAGUAUUGUUUGCUGUUAUAUAUAGCCGGCUGAGACGUGGUCAACAAUGACUUUCAGAAGCCAGCGAAUAGUGUUGCAAGCCAAGUCUGAAAUAAUUCAAUAAGGCCAGAUUGUGCCGCAAGACAGUCCAUUUAGAAUGUAGUGACUGUAGAGUUAGCAGUUGAGGCAAGUCUAGAAACCUCGAGUAGUGUGACCGAGUUGCAUUGUCACAUGUUUUCAGUCAGAGGCAAGUAUUCUUACUCUUCUCUUUUAUUUAAAGAGCAAGAAUUUUAAAUCUCUUUUAAUAAUGCAGUUUUCUAUUUAUGCAUGACUUGUAUUUCCCGCAAGCAUUCGUACUUUUAUACUGUGAUAUAAAUUAUCGAAUAUUUUUUUAGUUCGAUCCUUUUCUAGCGUGAUAUGCACAAUGACAACAUUGUUAGAAAAUUAUUCUGAUUUUGAUUUAAUCAGUUUUCUGAAAGAUUAUUGUCUGAGUUUCUUUACAGUUUGGAACUAUUGAUGACUGUAUAGCAGUCAUAUUUCGAUUCUACAAUAUAUGCCUGGUCUUCUGUCCCAGACAUAAACACUGGAUUUUUAAAUGGCGAAAAUAGUUGUUUUUAUUCCUUUGAGCCGCAUUGCGGUGGAUUUUAGAAUCGUACUCAGACUUUAAUGAAAUUGAUUUUGACAGUAUUUUGAAAUUGAAAACUAAAGAGUUUUCAGAAAGUUUUGAAAGGAUGAUUGUAUGGCAUAAGAGACUAAUUAAUGGUCCAGCCAGAGAGACCAGCAAAAAUAUUUUGUUUUGAUUGGAUGAAUGCGUAAGAGGCCGUGACGGCGGUCCAGUGAGGGCUAUAUACGUAUUAUUGAAAUAUUAUAAUACCUCUGCCAAAGGCCAAUGUGUUGCCUUGUAUUUGGUACCUAUCGUAACGGAUAUACUUCUACGAAGUAUGAUCCAGUGCUAUCACAUGGUCUGAUCAGUUGUGAUAGUACACCCGUCAGUUGUGGAUUCCGAUCCAAAAACUGGUCAAUUAUUGUUUAAGCUUUUGAGAGCUUAUGUUUAUUGUCAAAUUUAUUCUGUGAAAUUUUCAAGCAUAUUGAUUUAUAUGUUUGAUAAAAUUUUGAGUUACAACUGUUAUGAUUUACUUCAAAAGUUGCUUUAUUUUCAAAUACUCUGAUUUAAUUGAAAAGAAAUUAUAUCUUGUGGCUCUUGCCUUUCAUAUUAUCUUGCUGAGCAUUUUCGCUCACCCUUGCUAUUAUUUCUAACCCUUUCAGCUAGGGAUUGAGAUAGUCACCUGUGUAAGCUGAGCGUAAGAUUGAUGCUAGGCGAGACUACCAAGGAGAUGUCUACAAGAAUAGUUUCAGUUAGAAUUGAUUUAUUUCAGUUCAGUUGUAAAUAGAUUUAUUUAUUUGGUUAUCAGUUAUUCUUCUCAUCGAGGCUUAACUGAUAAUGUAGUUUAAGUUGUAAUAUAUUGUAAGUUUUAGUUUCUGAUUUCAGUACUGUAACCUAUUAGCGAUCCUGUUUUUAGGGGGUCAAAGUGAUUUUGAUUUAAAUCUCUUUUAAAAAUUUCAGAUUUUCAAAUAUCUGUUUUACCUUCUUCCGCAAAUACAGGUUUUUUUAUGAUUUUUGAUUUAGUGGCACCAAAUCCCGACCCCCGGAUUUGAGGGCUGUCACAGUUGGUAUCAGAGCUGUAGGUUAUAAGUUAUUGAAAUCAGAAUGUAGAUGGUGAUAAGAUUGUGUUUAGUGGAACCUCAUAUAGAGGUAAGUCAAGACUAUUAGGUAUAGUCUUUGUCAAGAGAACUGAGAUUGAUUUUGGAGUAUUGAUUCUGAGUAAUCAUUUGGGAUAUCCUAGUUUCCAGUUUUAGAACUAGUGAGUUUGGAUUUCAUGAGAAACAUGAUGGAACACCUUUAGUUUCCAAUCUUUUAGAUCUUGAGGUCGACUUUCUGAGUAACUAGUGCCAGCCAGACUUGUGGAGAAACCUGUCAAGUCUAGAAUGUUCCUUACAAAGUAAAUCAUAUAAAAAUUAACAACAACAAACAUGUCCGAUGAACAAAACAAAUAUUAUAAAAGACUAACCAACAAACAUACAUCACUAAUAGUUAAUUUAUUGAUAUCAUCCAUCAAUAUCGUGUCAAGACUAUAUUCUUUUUCCAUGUUUGGAUUUGUCGACUCCCACAUAGCGGUAUAUAACUAUCUUUGCUUGCAACAACCUUUAUUUUUUUAAUACUGUAUAAACAGCCUUCACUUAUCGUUGCAGAAGAACGGCACCACCGAGUUAGAAAUCGAGCAAGAGACAGCAGAGAGAGGUAGGGUUGUGGUAUUGAGAGAGAGAGGAGGUUGUGUUUAGAUAAUCCAAAAUCCUACGAUCUAUAGGGGUAUUUAUAGUGCAGAGAAACUUGUGUGCUAUUUUUUCCCAUAAUUAAAUAAUCUGAAACAAAAUCAGAUUAAAAUUCUCAAGCUCCUAUAUUUCAUAAAUAAUCUGAAAUAGAAUUAGAUUCUGACACUUGCUUCUAAUGUACCCAAAACUGAAAAAGGUAGUUCUAAUUAUUGAUAUUUUCAUCCAAAAAUUCUGGAAAAUUAGAAAAAUAGAGCGGAGCGAUGUGAGAGGCGCCAACUGCACGCCUCUCGCUUCUCCUUUAUAUAAGUAUAUUGACUAGUGAACAAAGCCGCGCUUCGCAACGGCGUUAUAAAUUUUUUAUAAAUUUUGAUACGAAUUGAUAUUAUAAUUGCAUAAAAGUUAUUUUGAGUCAUGUUCCCGUUAAACAUAUCAUUAAUAAAAAUAUUAUAAUUAAUAUAAAAAUUUAUUUAAGGGGCCCUCUUGUCAACCACAAUACUAAUAAAAAAAAUUGUUUGAACUGCCCUCCCAUCAAAGAUAAUAUUAAUCAAUAAUUAUUAUAAUUAUAAUAAAAUUAAAUAUAAUAAUAUCUAUAUAUAUAUAUAAAUUAGUUUGAGCCGCCCUCUUGUCAAGCACAAUAUAAUAACAAAAAAUUUUAAUGUAAAUAUUAGUUUUAGUCGCCCUACCUUCAAACACAAUACUAAUAAAAAUUAUUAUAAUUAUGAUAAAGUUAAAGGUUAUAAUUGGAUAAAAAUUAUUUCAAUGAGUAUUGUGGGUUUAAUGUAUCAAGUUGGUCACUGAACUGAAAACGGUAUCAAAUUGGUCACUAAAAUCACCAUAAAUAUAAAAUAGGUACCUCGAAAUAUGAGUUGAAGCAGUAAAAAUAUUAUUUAUAGAAUUUUACGCAUUAUUCUUGAAUGUUACCACAACCAACUAAAAAGUUAUGACUUGUAGUAUUUAUGAUAAUAUAUUUAAGAUUUUAUCCAGUUUAUUUAUUAUUUAAUUUUAUUAUAUAGUUAUUUUCUUUGUUUAAUUAAAAUUAAAUAAUAAAUAAAUUCGAUAAAAUCUGAAUACAUUAUAUACUUAUAUAUAACAAGCGUAAGGGAGAUAAUUUGGUCGCAUGGUCCUAUGGUCCAAAAGCUUAUCUUGGAUCGUAUAUUGAACAAAUAAGCACCGUUAGAUUAGAACAAAAUUAAAUUCUGUUCUAUAAGGAAACUGACAUCUACUUACAUGUUUAUAAUUCCUUUUCUGAAUCUAAAACAAAUUCUGUGUUUCAUGUGUUUUUGGUUUUUUUAAUCUAAAAUAAAUAUUUCCUACAAAAUUUAAUUGUAGAAUCGUAUAAAUCGCACCGUCACAAAAUUAUUUUUAUCCAUCGGAUCGUAUAUUGAACAAAUAAACACCGUUAGAUUAGAACAAAAAUAACAUCUGUUUCAUAAGACAACUGAUAUCUACUUGCAUGUUUAUAAUUCCUUUCCUGAAUUCAAAACAAAUUCUGUAUUUCAUGUGUUUAUGAUUUUUUUAAUCCAAAAUAAAUAUUUUCUACCAAUUUUAUUUGUAGAAUCAUAUAAAUCGCACCGUCACAAAAUUAUUUUUAUCCAAUAUAUUUUUAAAUUAAUAAGCCCGAUUUAUGUGAGGAACGAAUACAAAAACUUUUUCUUAAUCCAAAACAAAUUCUACCAUGUUAUUGCAUGUUUAUGAUUCAUCUUCUUAAUUCAAAACAAAUUGUGUUUAUCAAUUUUAAUCUCGAACCAUAAAAAUUUUUAGAAAAAUAUUUAAAUCACAUUAUAUAAUCUAAUAGGAGUCGGCGUCACAUAUUUUACUUAAAAUUAUUUAAAAUUUGAUAGAAAGAAUUUAAUACUUUAGCAUGAUACAUAUAAUUUUAAUUUAUUAUUAUAAAAUAAUUUUUUUCACACCAUUUAAAAUAUAUUUAAAAAAAUUAUAAAUAAUUAAAAAGCUCCCGUGCCUUGCACGGGCUAUAAGCUAGUUAUCAUAAAUACUAGAAGUCAUAAACUUUUAGUUGGUUGUCGUAACAUUCAAGAAUAAUGCGUAAAACUCUAUAAAUAAUAUUUUUACUGCUUCAACUCAUAUUUCGAGGUACUUGUUUGAUAUCUAUGGUGACUUUAGUGACAAACUUGAUACCGUUUUCAGUUCAGUGACCAACUUAAUACAUUAAAUCCACUCCAGUGACUAACUAGAUAAUUAACCCAUAUAACAUAUGCUAUUUUAUUUAUUUGUUUAUAAUUUAUUUAUUAAAAAACAUAUGCUAAUUUAUAAUUUGAUUUCAACAUAAUUUUUUGUCCAUAAAUUUAAUUAUUAUUAAAAUUGUGACAUCACACAUUAUUAUUUUGGUUGUGGUAUAGCCUUAUCAACCAAUAGAAUUGUUGUAAAAAACGGAAAUCAAAUUUAAUCGAUUAAAUCAUGGAAUAUAGAUUAAUUAGAAAUUAAUUGGAUUGAUUAGUAAUUAAUUGAUAAUAGGAGAUUUAGGGCAUUUGUUUUGAGCUUACUAUAGCUGAACGAGAUGUAUCUUACCGAUUAAUAUAAGUCAGAUUGUUUGGCUGUCAUAUUUCUUAUUCUGAUUCAUUCAUAUGGAACUGAUCAGGUCAUUUGAAAUCGGUGACAGAACGAUGCUGACACUGUUGUAUACUUGUAUGUCAAAUAUUAAUUUGUUCAUUUAUUUGUCCGCUGCAUUUUAUAUAUAUGUUUUAUCCCAAAUUUUGUGUGUAAUCAAUUUAUAAUAAAAUAAUCUUUCAAAAAAAUUGAAAAUAAUAUAAUAGUAAUCAAUAUAAAUAACUUUAUAAUUAUUUUGAAUAAUAAUAUGUCUAAUAUUCUUUUUACAUAUGUAUAAAUAAGUUUUUGUCUUAUUAAAAAUCAAGUGAUAUAUAUCUUAUUCAAAUUUGUAUAAUUUUUUUUCUAAAAUAAAUUAUCAUAUUUCUAAUAUAUUAUUUAGAUAUUUCAAAUGUUAUUCAUUAAAGAGUAUUAUUUCUUCAGAAUUCAGAUGAUUUAUUUAUUAGAAUCAUUCGUAUUAAUCAUUCAAUUUAGAUUUGUCAAAUGACCUCUUAAUUAGUUCACUAGAUCACGAAACAUGGAUUAAUCAUCCACUUUCAAAACCGCGGUCUGGUAAUACUAAAUUUGGUUUUUAUAUGUUGAUCCUCAUCUUAGAAAUUCGUUUGUAGCUAGAUUAAUGCUAAACUACUUAUCGGACUUUUAUCUCCAAACGGAUCGUCGGAUCCUAUUCACUCCUGGGGUUGUUCCCUCUUGAUAUAAGUUCUUUCCCUCUCUGUAUAUCUAAUCCGGUGUUGUUCGCUAUCAAUGGAUUGGGAUGUUUUAGUGCGGCAUAUAUUAGAUGCCAAAACGACGAACCAACUCAGGUUUUAAACCAAUCAAUCUUUCUUAUUUCGCCUCAUCGUUUUUAAUUAUGUUUUUAUCUUUAUGUAUGUGUUGUAGUGUUGUUAAUUGUUUUAAUACAUUUUCGUCAUUUACAUUCUAAUUGGAGUGCUGUGUGUUCAAAAUUUUAUACACUCCAUCAAGCUGUGACCAAGCUUCUAAUCGAGUGCCGUAGGAUAGUAUCAAUCACAAUAAAUUUAUUUUAUAACCUUAACAUCGAUUUCUCCCUUAAGUAUUUAUGAUCCAAAUCAUGAAUGAUCCUCCGUAUGUUACAGAUUUUGUGGAUCAUUGAUAACCGGAAGUUUUAGAUAAUGAAUUAGAGACUCAGAGUUAAGUAAAACAUGAAAUUUAUACCUGAAAAGUCCAUGGGAUCAGGAAAUUUUUUGAAUGUGAAAAGAAUUAUUUUGGAAUUUGAGUUUGUUUAUAAAUUAUUACAUCUCAUUAUAUAGGAAGUAUGAAGGUAAGCGUAAGUCUACUAUCCAAACUCUUAACAUACUUCAAAAUUUUAUUUAUAUGUUUUCAGCUCUGUUUUUUUAUUUAAUAUUUUUCUUUUUUGCAUUUUUGAUAUAAUAUUUUGAUGAAAUGCUAAUUUGUUUUUUUUUUUCUUCUGAAAUUGCUUGAUUUUGAACUUCGUCAGAAAUUGUGAAUAUUAGAACCCCAGUUUAAGUCUAUGACCCGAACACAUUAGUAUAUGCGUAUAGUUUUGAAAUUAAACUCUGAUACCUUGCAACUUGCAAGGGUGCAAUGAUGCGCACUUUCUGACAUUAUAGUAUGUUAACUUCUGGAGUCUGGACCGCGUCAGUGGUUUAUUGUGACUUCUGGAAUUCUGGACCAUGUCAACAGUUUAUAGUGACCAGCUUAGAUCAAAUAGGUGACUAAAAGUCAUCAUUUUAAACGUUAUAAAUUGCUGAAAUUUAGUGUUUGGUAUUUUGCAUUGCAUUUAUUGGUUGAACACAGGGGUGGCAAUCUCAGACACGACCCGAAACCCGACUCGAACCUGACCCAACCCGAAACCCGAUUUACUGAGACAGAAACCCGAAAGUGACCCGAAAAUCACCCGAUUGACCCGAAAUAGACCCGAAAUGACCCGAAAUUAGAAUUUUAUUUCUAAUAACUUCAAUUUUCAGUUUUAUUCAAUUUUAAGUGAUUUUAACUUAACCCGAAAUCGACCCGAUUGCUGACACGAACACGAUCAUUUGAAAGAUCAUCUUUGAUUCAGAUUGUAACACAAAUUUCUAUUACCAAAAUCACAAUCUGAUAGUGAUUUUGGUAAUAGAAAUUUGUGUUACAAUCUGAAUCAAAGAUGAUCCUUCAAAUGGAUAUCUUAUUUUAAUAUGUGUUCUACUUAUGAAUGAUACAUUAUUCAAACUAGGAAGAAUCCUUCAAACAGAUUUUGUUUAAACUAUUCUUCCGGAUCAUGAAUGAUCCUCAGAUUAAAUUCUUGUUAACUAUUCAUAUAAAUCCUGAAUAAUAAGCUGCAUCUUGUAUAUGUAUAUAUUGAUAGUGACAGAGGGCUCACUUCUAAAUAUCUUAUCUAUAUAUGCUCCGAUGCUCUAUAGAAGUAGGAAAAGAGAGUACUCUGCACUAGUGUUUAAGAGAUUCCAGAGAAUGAAGAGAGAAACUCCGAAAAGAAAGGCUAUCACUUGUACCACCGACAUACUGAUUCGGUCAGAGAGUCCUCCCAUCCCCGCUUGUCUGGCUGCCGAUGAGCUCACUCGACUUCUAACUAGGUCUGUCAUUUUUACACAUCCAACCCUAUUUUAUAAUAAGUAUUGUAUUUUGGGAAAAUUAAUUCAUUUGUUCCUGAACUGUAGGUCGUUAAUGGUUUAGGUCCCUAAACUAAAAACCCAAUUUUUUUUUUUGCCACAACUAAAAACCCAAUUUUUGAUACCUAAAUGUUUAAAAAAUCUGAUUCAAGUCCUUCCGUCAAAAUUUGACUAACGCUUGUUAGUCAUUGCUGACAUGGAAAUUGGAAAAAUAAAAGAAAAAAAAAUUAAAAUACGAGAAAUCAAAACUUCAAGGACUGAAGUGAAAUCUUGAUAUGUUAAUGUACUAGUGAUUUUAAAAAUACGGGUGGUGAAAGUUUUAGAUUUCGAGUUUACUAACAUAUAGAAAUAUCACUUUAAUCUCAAGAUCACGAAGAUAAAAACUUAUUAAAAUGCAGUUUUUUGUAUGCUGGUGAACUCUAAUCAGGAAUUUUCACUAUCCUUGUUCUUGAAAUGACUCAUAAAUGAACAUAUCAAAAUUUUAUUUCAUUCCAUGAAGUUGUGAUUUUUGUGUUUUCAAUUAUUAUUUUCUUUUGUUUUUUCAAUUUCUAUGUCAGUAUUAAGUAACGGCCGUUAGUCAAAUUUUGGCGGAGGGACUUGAAUCAGUUUUUUGGAAAGUUUAGAUAUCGAAGUUGGGUUUUUUUAGUUUAGGGACCUAAACCAUAAACGGCCUAUAGGAAUGAAUUAAUUUUCCUGUGUAUUUUCAGCUGAUAUAAGAUUACAUGUGUAUAUUUAUUGUGUGUGUGUAUAUAUAUGUGUGUACUUUAUGUAAUGGUCGUCUGAUGGAAUAAGCGAGGUGUACUUUGGAAGAAAAAUCACAGAAGUUCAGAGCUUGACAAAGAGGUUUGACAUCUCUCUCCACUGUCCUCCAAUGUGUAUUCUCUUUUAAAUUGGAGUCAUUUUGACAAAUAAAUGGUUUUCUUUAAAACAAAAAAAUACUAACAAUAUUUAUGCAUGUAAAUUGUAAAUGUAAUAGAGUCUAGUCAAUUUUGUAAAUGAAUACAAAUUCAGAAAGUAGUUUUAGGUUUUUGAGUUAUAUAAAUAUUCUAUUAUUAUUUAUUGUUUGGGAAAAUUAAUUUAUUAGUCCAUGACCUAUAUGUCGUUUAUGGUUUAGGACUCUGAACUAAAUAAGACCAAAUUUUUUUAUACCUAAACUUUUAGAAAAUCCGAUUCAGGUCCCUUUAUUAAAAUUUGACUAACUGCAGUUGUUCAAUGCUGACGUGGAAAUUGAAAAAAUAAAAGAAAAAAAUAAUUAAAAAUACCAAAAAUCAAAACUUCAGAGAUUGAAAUGAAAUUUUGAUAUGUUAUUCUACAAGUGAUUUCAAAACAAUGGUUGGUGAAAGUUUUUGAUUUCGAGUUCACUAACAUAUAGAAAUAUGCACUUUAAUCUCGAGAACACGUAGUUAUCAAGGCUUAUUAAUCUCAAUGAGGGGAGGAAGAGAAAUAAAGUCACUCAUUCUUCUAGCCCCUAUUUCUAUCACUCCAUUUUCAUGUCAUAUUGUCCACAGAUCCGGACCUUAUUCAAGAAUUCUGCAUACCAGACACCACAUCAAAUGUCACCCAAACAACAAGGUCUGGUAUGAUCCCAUGCGAAAAUCUGGUAGAUGUUAUCCCCGAAGAUUUUAUCUUCUCAGGUAUAGAACAUCCUGGAAAUUUAUCAGGCACUGGACUAUCAGCAAUAUCCGUGAGUCCACAAACUUUUCCAGGCCUCAACACCCAAGGCAUGUCUUUGUUGCGUGCUGAUCACCAUAAAGCCCCAAACUGAUAGGUGGGUAUUCCCCGAUACUGGUGAAGGCAUCAUUAUCCUGGCUGAAGGACGUUUGAUGAACUUGGGUUCUGCAACUGGUCACUCCAGUUUCGUGAUGUCUUGCUCUUUCGCUAACCAAGUGAUUUCUCAGCUAGAGUUGUGGAAUGAGAAGAGCUCCGGAAAGUAUGAUUAGAAGGUCCAUGUCUUACCCAAUCACCUCGAUGAGAAGGUUGCUGCACUCCAUCUUGAAAAGCUCGGUGCAAAGCCUACAAAGCUCUCCAAGGACCAAGCUGACUACAUCAGUGUUCAAGUUGAGGGUCUUCAAGAGUUAAAUAAUGUGAAAAACCUCUCUAUCAUUCUGCCUGUAUGCUUUCAUUUUGAAUAUGGACUCAUUGAUGUGGUGGAAGCAAAAUCUGCAAUGCCAGCUAACAUCUGUCAAGAUGUCAUCAAUCUGGCGAUGAUGUGCAGAUCUUAUCUUUCCCAUCUAAUAUGUAUGUACCAGUGUUAUGAUUGUGAGUACAUAUGUAUCUAUAUAAAAAGGAGAAGAGCUGGUAGGACGAAUGAAGGAAAAGGUAAAGAUAGAAAUACCCUUAACCACACAGAUGGCGCUAGACCCAUUUGAUGGAAACACGCUGAAUGUAAGUAAACUAAAAGUCUAGUAUAUCACAUGAUAUUUUAUAAAUUGGAGUAUCUCAAGUAGUCUGACACACAAAGUGCACUUUACUCUUAUAUAUAUAUAUUCAUAGAUAUUUGCGGUUUUCUUAUUGAACUUUGAUUCUAUUCCAUGGAACCUUAAAAUUUUAGGUAGGUUGAUCAAUCACCAUUGUAUCAUAAACCAAUAUAAUGUUCUUUUAAUAUUGAUACUUAGAGAAGGCUGUGGAAAUCAUUUUAGAUUACAUGUUUUUCACAUUAGUUGAAAUUCAGUACAUGCUGGCACAAAACUACAUCUUCACACAUCUUUCACAUUUAGGAAGUUUUUAUAUACCGGUUCUUGUUAUUCAACUUUCGUUAAAGGUAACAAAUAGGUCACUUGUGAGGAACAUUAUUAUAAAAUUAUUAAGCUUUAAGGAACAGUAUUGCAAAAGCUGAAACUCUAGGUGAACAAAUAAUGUUGUAGAACUUAAUUUUGGAGGGACACUUCUCUUAUCUACCUUACUAGAUUACUUAAGGGUUAAAUAUCAAAGUGGUCACUCAAGUGGAGGUCAUAUAUCACUUUGCUUACUAAUCUUAACGGGGUCUCAUUUANAUAUCUAAUCCGGUGUUGUUCGCUAUCAAUGGAUUGGGAUGUUUUAGUGCGGCAUAUAUUAGAUGCCAAAACGACGAACCAACUCAGGUUUUAAACCAAUCAAUCUUUCUUAUUUCGCCUCAUCGUUUUUAAUUAUGUUUUUAUCUUUAUGUAUGUGUUGUAGUGUUGUUAAUUGUUUUAAUACAUUUUCGUCAUUUACAUUCUAAUUGGAGUGCUGUGUGUUCAAAAUUUUAUACACUCCAUCAAGCUGUGACCAAGCUUCUAAUCGAGUGCCGUAGGAUAGUAUCAAUCACAAUAAAUUUAUUUUAUAACCUUAACAUCGAUUUCUCCCUUAAGUAUUUAUGAUCCAAAUCAUGAAUGAUCCUCCGUAUGUUACAGAUUUUGUGGAUCAUUGAUAACCGGAAGUUUUAGAUAAUGAAUUAGAGACUCAGAGUUAAGUAAAACAUGAAAUUUAUACCUGAAAAGUCCAUGGGAUCAGGAAAUUUUUUGAAUGUGAAAAGAAUUAUUUUGGAAUUUGAGUUUGUUUAUAAAUUAUUACAUCUCAUUAUAUAGGAAGUAUGAAGGUAAGCGUAAGUCUACUAUCCAAACUCUUAACAUACUUCAAAAUUUUAUUUAUAUGUUUUCAGCUCUGUUUUUUUAUUUAAUAUUUUUCUUUUUUGCAUUUUUGAUAUAAUAUUUUGAUGAAAUGCUAAUUUGUUUUUUUUUUUCUUCUGAAAUUGCUUGAUUUUGAACUUCGUCAGAAAUUGUGAAUAUUAGAACCCCAGUUUAAGUCUAUGACCCGAACACAUUAGUAUAUGCGUAUAGUUUUGAAAUUAAACUCUGAUACCUUGCAACUUGCAAGGGUGCAAUGAUGCGCACUUUCUGACAUUAUAGUAUGUUAACUUCUGGAGUCUGGACCGCGUCAGUGGUUUAUUGUGACUUCUGGAAUUCUGGACCAUGUCAACAGUUUAUAGUGACCAGCUUAGAUCAAAUAGGUGACUAAAAGUCAUCAUUUUAAACGUUAUAAAUUGCUGAAAUUUAGUGUUUGGUAUUUUGCAUUGCAUUUAUUGGUUGAACACAGGGGUGGCAAUCUCAGACACGACCCGAAACCCGACUCGAACCUGACCCAACCCGAAACCCGAUUUACUGAGACAGAAACCCGAAAGUGACCCGAAAAUCACCCGAUUGACCCGAAAUAGACCCGAAAUGACCCGAAAUUAGAAUUUUAUUUCUAAUAACUUCAAUUUUCAGUUUUAUUCAAUUUUAAGUGAUUUUAACUUAACCCGAAAUCGACCCGAUUGCUGACACGAACACGAUCAUUUGAAAGAUCAUCUUUGAUUCAGAUUGUAACACAAAUUUCUAUUACCAAAAUCACAAUCUGAUAGUGAUUUUGGUAAUAGAAAUUUGUGUUACAAUCUGAAUCAAAGAUGAUCCUUCAAAUGGAUAUCUUAUUUUAAUAUGUGUUCUACUUAUGAAUGAUACAUUAUUCAAACUAGGAAGAAUCCUUCAAACAGAUUUUGUUUAAACUAUUCUUCCGGAUCAUGAAUGAUCCUCAGAUUAAAUUCUUGUUAACUAUUCAUAUAAAUCCUGAAUAAUAAGCUGCAUCUUGUAUAUGUAUAUAUUGAUAGUGACAGAGGGCUCACUUCUAAAUAUCUUAUCUAUAUAUGCUCCGAUGCUCUAUAGAAGUAGGAAAAGAGAGUACUCUGCACUAGUGUUUAAGAGAUUCCAGAGAAUGAAGAGAGAAACUCCGAAAAGAAAGGCUAUCACUUGUACCACCGACAUACUGAUUCGGUCAGAGAGUCCUCCCAUCCCCGCUUGUCUGGCUGCCGAUGAGCUCACUCGACUUCUAACUAGGUCUGUCAUUUUUACACAUCCAACCCUAUUUUAUAAUAAGUAUUGUAUUUUGGGAAAAUUAAUUCAUUUGUUCCUGAACUGUAGGUCGUUAAUGGUUUAGGUCCCUAAACUAAAAACCCAAUUUUUUUUUUUGCCACAACUAAAAACCCAAUUUUUGAUACCUAAAUGUUUAAAAAAUCUGAUUCAAGUCCUUCCGUCAAAAUUUGACUAACGCUUGUUAGUCAUUGCUGACAUGGAAAUUGGAAAAAUAAAAGAAAAAAAAAUUAAAAUACGAGAAAUCAAAACUUCAAGGACUGAAGUGAAAUCUUGAUAUGUUAAUGUACUAGUGAUUUUAAAAAUACGGGUGGUGAAAGUUUUAGAUUUCGAGUUUACUAACAUAUAGAAAUAUCACUUUAAUCUCAAGAUCACGAAGAUAAAAACUUAUUAAAAUGCAGUUUUUUGUAUGCUGGUGAACUCUAAUCAGGAAUUUUCACUAUCCUUGUUCUUGAAAUGACUCAUAAAUGAACAUAUCAAAAUUUUAUUUCAUUCCAUGAAGUUGUGAUUUUUGUGUUUUCAAUUAUUAUUUUCUUUUGUUUUUUCAAUUUCUAUGUCAGUAUUAAGUAACGGCCGUUAGUCAAAUUUUGGCGGAGGGACUUGAAUCAGUUUUUUGGAAAGUUUAGAUAUCGAAGUUGGGUUUUUUUAGUUUAGGGACCUAAACCAUAAACGGCCUAUAGGAAUGAAUUAAUUUUCCUGUGUAUUUUCAGCUGAUAUAAGAUUACAUGUGUAUAUUUAUUGUGUGUGUGUAUAUAUAUGUGUGUACUUUAUGUAAUGGUCGUCUGAUGGAAUAAGCGAGGUGUACUUUGGAAGAAAAAUCACAGAAGUUCAGAGCUUGACAAAGAGGUUUGACAUCUCUCUCCACUGUCCUCCAAUGUGUAUUCUCUUUUAAAUUGGAGUCAUUUUGACAAAUAAAUGGUUUUCUUUAAAACAAAAAAAUACUAACAAUAUUUAUGCAUGUAAAUUGUAAAUGUAAUAGAGUCUAGUCAAUUUUGUAAAUGAAUACAAAUUCAGAAAGUAGUUUUAGGUUUUUGAGUUAUAUAAAUAUUCUAUUAUUAUUUAUUGUUUGGGAAAAUUAAUUUAUUAGUCCAUGACCUAUAUGUCGUUUAUGGUUUAGGACUCUGAACUAAAUAAGACCAAAUUUUUUUAUACCUAAACUUUUAGAAAAUCCGAUUCAGGUCCCUUUAUUAAAAUUUGACUAACUGCAGUUGUUCAAUGCUGACGUGGAAAUUGAAAAAAUAAAAGAAAAAAAUAAUUAAAAAUACCAAAAAUCAAAACUUCAGAGAUUGAAAUGAAAUUUUGAUAUGUUAUUCUACAAGUGAUUUCAAAACAAUGGUUGGUGAAAGUUUUUGAUUUCGAGUUCACUAACAUAUAGAAAUAUGCACUUUAAUCUCGAGAACACGUAGUUAUCAAGGCUUAUUAAUCUCAAUGAGGGGAGGAAGAGAAAUAAAGUCACUCAUUCUUCUAGCCCCUAUUUCUAUCACUCCAUUUUCAUGUCAUAUUGUCCACAGAUCCGGACCUUAUUCAAGAAUUCUGCAUACCAGACACCACAUCAAAUGUCACCCAAACAACAAGGUCUGGUAUGAUCCCAUGCGAAAAUCUGGUAGAUGUUAUCCCCGAAGAUUUUAUCUUCUCAGGUAUAGAACAUCCUGGAAAUUUAUCAGGCACUGGACUAUCAGCAAUAUCCGUGAGUCCACAAACUUUUCCAGGCCUCAACACCCAAGGCAUGUCUUUGUUGCGUGCUGAUCACCAUAAAGCCCCAAACUGAUAGGUGGGUAUUCCCCGAUACUGGUGAAGGCAUCAUUAUCCUGGCUGAAGGACGUUUGAUGAACUUGGGUUCUGCAACUGGUCACUCCAGUUUCGUGAUGUCUUGCUCUUUCGCUAACCAAGUGAUUUCUCAGCUAGAGUUGUGGAAUGAGAAGAGCUCCGGAAAGUAUGAUUAGAAGGUCCAUGUCUUACCCAAUCACCUCGAUGAGAAGGUUGCUGCACUCCAUCUUGAAAAGCUCGGUGCAAAGCCUACAAAGCUCUCCAAGGACCAAGCUGACUACAUCAGUGUUCAAGUUGAGGGUCUUCAAGAGUUAAAUAAUGUGAAAAACCUCUCUAUCAUUCUGCCUGUAUGCUUUCAUUUUGAAUAUGGACUCAUUGAUGUGGUGGAAGCAAAAUCUGCAAUGCCAGCUAACAUCUGUCAAGAUGUCAUCAAUCUGGCGAUGAUGUGCAGAUCUUAUCUUUCCCAUCUAAUAUGUAUGUACCAGUGUUAUGAUUGUGAGUACAUAUGUAUCUAUAUAAAAAGGAGAAGAGCUGGUAGGACGAAUGAAGGAAAAGGUAAAGAUAGAAAUACCCUUAACCACACAGAUGGCGCUAGACCCAUUUGAUGGAAACACGCUGAAUGUAAGUAAACUAAAAGUCUAGUAUAUCACAUGAUAUUUUAUAAAUUGGAGUAUCUCAAGUAGUCUGACACACAAAGUGCACUUUACUCUUAUAUAUAUAUAUUCAUAGAUAUUUGCGGUUUUCUUAUUGAACUUUGAUUCUAUUCCAUGGAACCUUAAAAUUUUAGGUAGGUUGAUCAAUCACCAUUGUAUCAUAAACCAAUAUAAUGUUCUUUUAAUAUUGAUACUUAGAGAAGGCUGUGGAAAUCAUUUUAGAUUACAUGUUUUUCACAUUAGUUGAAAUUCAGUACAUGCUGGCACAAAACUACAUCUUCACACAUCUUUCACAUUUAGGAAGUUUUUAUAUACCGGUUCUUGUUAUUCAACUUUCGUUAAAGGUAACAAAUAGGUCACUUGUGAGGAACAUUAUUAUAAAAUUAUUAAGCUUUAAGGAACAGUAUUGCAAAAGCUGAAACUCUAGGUGAACAAAUAAUGUUGUAGAACUUAAUUUUGGAGGGACACUUCUCUUAUCUACCUUACUAGAUUACUUAAGGGUUAAAUAUCAAAGUGGUCACUCAAGUGGAGGUCAUAUAUCACUUUGCUUACUAAUCUUAACGGGGUCUCAUUUAAAUCAUUAAAGUCAAAAUAAAUAUCAAUCAAGUACCUCCAAAUUUCAGUCCAAGGAGUAAAAAUAUUAUUUAUAAAGUUUGACACAUUAAUUUUGAUAACUACCACAACCAAUUAAAAGGUUAUGACUUUUAGUAUUUAUGACAAUUUGUUCAGAUUUUAUCAAUUUUAUUUACUAUUUAUUUUUAAUUAAAACAAAGAAAAUAUUAAUAUAAUAAAAAAUAAAUAGUAAAUAGACUUUAUAAAAUCUAAAUAUAUUUUCGUAGAUACUAGAAGUCAUAACAUUUUACUUGGUUGUGCUAGUAUUCAAUAAUAAUGUGUCAAACUUUAUAAAUAAUUUUUUUACUCGUUGGACUAAAUUUCCGAGGUACCUGAUUGAUAUUUAUUGUUACUUUAAUGAUUGAAAUGAGACCUCGUUAUGAUUAGUGAGCAAAGUGAUAUAUGACCUUCAAUUCAGUGACCACUUUGAUAUUUAACCCGUUUACUUGAGAUCACCUAGCUGACACAAUUAGAAUCUUUGGCAAGCCUUAUUGCAAACUAUAGCACUUUCAAUCUAUAAUUGACUCUGGUUUUAGACAAAUCUUUCGGUUUAUAUCGUAUUUGGGAACAUGAAAUCCAUUUCAAAUGAUAUGAUUUGAGUUGUUAUUUCUAAGUACCAAAGUUAUGCAUGAAUUUAAAUGACUUGAAAUUCAAUUAAAUUCGAACAAUAAAUUAUUUUUGUAUCCAAACAUAUCAUUUGUCGAAAUCCAGAAUUUUAUAUUAUUUUCAAAUUUUCAAACAAGCCAAAUGUGGUUUUGCAAAUUUAAGCUAUUGUUUCUGAAUUCGGCAUUUUGUACAAGAUGCUUAGGUGGUAGUAUUAAAAAUUAUGUACUAGGAAUUGACUUGAAUUGUUUUAGUUUUUCAUUAGGGCCUGGAUCUUGACAUACGAAUGUUAUAGCAUACUAUCGAUGGGUUUUUUUUCCGCCAGAUGGCCUUAACCUUAAAAUUUUGAUGUGUAUGCAGGGGAUUGCCACAGUGUCACCUAGCAAAAAAAUGGCUCAUUGGCGUGUAGGUGAGUUGGCGAGAGCACUAGUUAUUGACCAAAGCUUUCAAGGUUUAAUUCCUGGAGGCGUGGGAUCUUAUACCGCACUCAAGGAAUGGCUACCAAUGUGGUCUUGCCACUUAUUGAGUAUGGCUAGGGUGUCCAGAAAAUGACUCAUUCUAGGGUUUCUGUCGUCCAACACUUUUUUCCGCUAGAUGUAUGCUACUAAUAUUCUACUGUUUUGGACUGACUACGUUUUCAUUAAACCAAAAUCCUUUCCUUUGAACUUCAUUUGACAACAUAAAUGUUUGGAGCUCUGUAAUUUUGCUUAAUUCGAUUUUUCAAUUGAAUAUUUUUUGGUCCAUUGCCUCGAAAUUGACUAUUUCCUCAAUACAGUUAGUCUGGGACAUGACACAAGUCAAUUACAAAUAUAAAUAAACUCCCUAGAUGAGUUUCCAAAAGUGGAUCUAUAAUUAUGUUUUUUACGGAUCAUAGGCUUCGCAAAAGGUCCUUUAGUGCAUUAUUAUCGAAAGCCCUCAAAUAUUGUGAUGCCAAUUCAGCCCAC